rnacentral:rRNA from 1 species
CCUACGGGGUGCUGCAGUGGGGAAUAUUGGGCAAUGGGCGCAAGCCUGACCCAGCAACGCCGCGUGAAGGAAGAAGGCUUUCGGGUUGUAAACUUCUUUUCUCAGGGACGAAGAAAGUGACGGUACCUGAGGAAUAAGCCACGGCUAACUACGUGCCAGCAGCCGCGGUAAUACGUAGGGGGCAAGCGUUAUCCGGAUUUACUGGGUGUAAAGGGAGCGUAGGCGGUGCAGCAAGUCAGAAGUGAAAGCCGGGGGCUCAAAUCCGGGACUGCUUUUGAAACUGUUGAACUUGAUUGCAGGAGAGGUAAGUGGAAUUCCUAGUGUAGCGGUGAAAUGCGUAGAUAUUAGGAGGAACACCAGUGGCGAAGGCGGCUUACUGGACUGUAAAUGACGCUGAGGCUCGAAAGCGUGGGGAGCAAACAGGAUUAGAUACCCCAGUAGUC